GCCUCGGUAGCUCAGUCGGCAGAGCGCGUGCCUUUUAAGCCCGUGGCCGCGGGUUCGAGCUCUGCCCGAGGUG
rfam:Perkinsus marinus ATCC 50983 gcontig_1104296512582, whole genome shotgun sequence.